rnacentral:rRNA from 1 species
AUUGAACGCUGGCGGCAUGCCUUACACAUGCAAGUCGAACGGCAGCACGGGAGCAAUCCUGGUGGCGAGUGGCGAACGGGUGAGUAAUAUAUCGGAACGUGCCCAGUCGUGGGGGAUAACGCAGCGAAAGCUGUGCUAAUACCGCAUACGAUCUAUGGGUGAAAGCGGGGGAUCGCAAGACCUCGCGCGAUUGGAGCGGCCGAUAUCAGAUUAGCUAGUUGGUGAGGUAAAGGCUCACCAAGGCGACGAUCUGUAGCUGGUCUGAGAGGACGACCAGCCACACUGGAACUGGGACACGGUCCAGAAUCCUACGGGAGGCAGCAGUGGGGAAUUUUGGACAAUGGGCGAAAGCCUGAUCCAGCAAUGCCGCGUGCAGGAUGAAGGCCUUCGGGUUGUAAACUGCUUUUGUACGGAACGAAACGGUGAGCUCUAAUACAGUUUGCUAAUGACGGUACCGUAAGAAUAAGCACCGGCUAACUACGUGCCAGCAGCCGCAGUAAAAC